UUCCUCCAGAUUCCAAUACCAAAGCAAAGACAUCAACAGUCGUCUUAGGGAAAGAUUUCAGUAUAAUGGCACCCUCCAGAGCUUUGUGGAGCAUUGACGAAAGAUCCUUAGUUUCUGGAGUAUGGAUGGCAAGCAGCAAAAGUUUCAGAUACAUAGAGAACUAGUUGAGUACGGAGAGGAAGCGAGUACAAAAAGAACACCAUCACAGAAAAAAGAAGAUGGUUAACCUGACCACGAACAGGAGAAGCAAAAGUUGUAUAACUGACGUUACAAUUCAACCGCCCAUCAUUACUAUACAUCAUAGCUUUCUUACUUUCCCUGGGACCAAAGCUGAAUGAAAAAGAGAGAAAAUUCAACAUUUCAUCGUGCUCCAUUAUAAAAAGAUAAUAUCUUUAAGCAAUUUGGUAAUGGAAAGACAUCAACAUUGGUAAUGGGUUAUCAAGUACUAUUAACUACCCACAAAACUCUACAUCUAUCUCAAAUGUUUACAUUACGCCUAUCGAUUCAAACUCCAUAUCUAGAAUUCAGAGGACAAUAAAUUUCUUAGAGAGAUCUUAAAUCAGGAAGUUGAUAAGAAGAAGAGAUAAAUCAAUGGUUCUUCUGCGAAGAGAUAAAAACCAGUAGAAAAAAUUAGGUGAGAGGCCUAAAGACAAGAAGGCAGUAUUUCAGAUUUUAUCUUAAACUUUUCCAACCUUGGAGAGCAAAAUGAAGAAACUUAAUUAAAAUCAAGCAGAUAAAUGAUAUAUAAACUUGGAAUUCAACACAAAGACAAUGUGUUGAAGGCAUAUUCCAAAACUUUCCCGUUUUUAAGAGUAAACCUUUUAUCAUCCUUCCAACUGAAAAAUACUAGAAAAUGUAAAGACUCAUUGUAUUUUAGUACUCAUUAUGAAAUGAUCAUUUCCUUGAGAGAAGUCACAAUUGUGGUAGAACUAUACUAAUGUUUAGAUAAUUCCUGUAUUCAUCAAUGAUUAAGCCAAAAGAUGUGAAACAAUCAAAGAUAAUGCAGCUCAUCAAUUCUAUAAACCUUUUAGAUUAUUCCUCAUCAAAGCCAAUUCAUAUAAAUCAUAUGCAGGAGAUAGACGACAUCAAUGGAGGGUUGGGAGUUUCAUUACUCAACAAAAUCAAGAAAAACAAUGGAUGAAAUGAAAACAUAAUCUAAUCAAGAAGAAUACCCAAAACCACUUAACCUAAUCAGUUGCUCCGUUUGGUGCUGUCGAAAGUGGUGUUCCUGGUGAUAGCGUAGACAAUGAGGCAGAGGUGCAGUCGAGCGACGAGGGGGGUGAGGCGUCAGGAUUUAGAGAUCUCAAUGGGUGGCAGCAAUCGAUGGCGAGUCGAGAUGCAACAAUCGACGGCGAGGCGAGGCGCAGCAAUCGACGGUGCGGCGAGGCGAGGAGUAGCAAUACACGGCGCAGCGAGGAGAGGUGCAGCAGCGCGGCGAGGCGAGGCGCUGCAAUCGACGGCGACGGCGAGGCCAGGCGCAGAUCUGA
rnacentral:lncRNA from 1 species